AUGGCUGGUAUCAGCAGCAACUGGUAUGGCUGGUUCCAGCAGAAGGUCCCUGGCAGUGGCCCUGUCACUGUGAUCUACAACAGUAACAGCAGACCCUCGGGCAUCCCUUCGCGAUUCUCCGGAUCCAAGUCCGGCUCCACGGGCACGUUAACCAUCACUGGGGUCCAAGCCGAGGACGAGGCUGUCUAUUACUGUGGUGGUGCUGACAGCAGCAGUGAUCCUGGAGAGAUCUGUGCUCCCAGGUCACUGACUCACCCACUCUCCUCCCCUCUCUUUUCUCUCUCUCCAGGUUCCCUGGUCCAGGCAGCAUCACUGAGUCAGCCAUCCUCAGUGUCAGCCACUGUGGGAGAGUACAUCAAAAUCACCUGCUCUGGGAGUAGCUACAGCGACUAUGGCUGGUACCAGCAGAAGGUCCCUGGCAGUGGCCCUGUCACUGUGAUCUACUACAAUGACAAGAGACCCUCGGACAUCCCUUCGCGAUUCUCCGGAUCCACAUCCUGGACCACGGCCACGUUAACCAUCACUGGGGUCCAAGCCGAGGAUGAGGCUGUCUAUUUCUGUGGUGGCAGGGACAGCAGUGGUGCUGGUUAUAGUGACAAAGAGAUUUUCAAAUAA